ensembl:lncRNA
AGCGACACAAGAGGAACAAGGAGAGACCAGAGAGGCAGCAACACAACGAGGCCGUUUGGUUUAGUCAGAAAAGGGUUUAUUGCAAAGGUCGAGCCGCUGACGUUCCUCUGUUGGCAACACUAGCAGCCACAACAGCUACAAGCUAACACGCCUAUUCAGAGUCAUGUGGAUUUUGGGCCAUGGCGCCUUAUACUCAACUACUUUUGGAGCAAAGUAUCCUUUUAAUUGUAAUGUACAUAAUAGACAAUAGAGUUGUUGCAGAAACCUUUUGAAAAAUACAAUGACAGAAGAUUUAGGUCAUAUAACGAGAGGCCAACUGCUCUGCAGCUUCCAGGUCACAACGCGCUUCUCCAGCGGGUUCUCCAGCGGGUUCUCCAGCGGGUUCUCCAGCGGGUUCUCCAGCGGGUUCUCCAGCGGGUUCUCCAGCGGGCUCACCAGCGGGCUCACCAGGUCACGUCCACAUUGACCUCUGACAGACACUGGGCGAGGUGGCCGUCACAGUCCAUUUGGGUGAACCUGGAGAGAAACAAGGAGAUCUCGGUUGGUACGUGACACCGGAGCUGAUCCUCACGGACCGCGUCCCGUUACCGCGGCAGCUGGUAACUCUGGAAACGUUUGAGGGAAGGAAUAAAAGUUGGAAAAAACUCCGACAUGAUGAUGAAGAACAAAAAACAAUGAGACCUGAAGUUCACGCACACACUGGUAUUAAAUAGGAAGGUUCCUGUAUGGUCCAUUUCUGCCCAGAUGUUCACACAAACAUCUAUCAGUGUUAAACACUCACAAGUAUCUUGAAUAGUAACGUGUUUCUGUACGUUCCUCACAUACUUUCUAGGGUUUUAUUGCAUUUAAGACAACCAGAGGUGUCAGCAUCCACUUCUCUCUGCUGGGAGUCUCACUGUGUGUGUGUGUGUGUAGUUGUGAACCUUACAUGUCUACAUUGUGUGUUUGUGAGGAGACCCAUGAAGAGCUAAAACAUUCCUUGUUCCUCGUUCUGAAUCCCAGCAGAGUGGGACGGGGGACUGAAAGGCGAUGGGACAGCUCCUCACGUCUCUACUGACGGAGGUGUCUCUUACCCGUCAGGGAACACCACGAGGCACAUGGGGCAGCUCUGCAGCCGCCCCCCUCCUCCACCUCCUGCCACAUGUGGCUGCAGCUCCUCCUCCUGCAGAGAACCUCGGCUGGCCUCCUGGUUUGAGAGAGGUCCCGCCCCUUCCUCUUGCUGUGCUCCUGUCCUCCUCUCGUGUCCCCCUGCAGUGGAGGGCCCGGGCGAUGAGCUGUGGGAGGAUGGCCGGGGUCUCUGGGGGAGGGCUUGGAGGGGGGGCGCCUCCUCCUCGCCGCGGCGCCCGCUGUGAGACGGUGGCGGUGUGGCGGGCCGGUCGGGUCCAGGGAGGGGAGCCACGUCUCUGCUGAGCUCACACCACCACAGCUCUUCAUCCAGCUUCAUCGGGGGGGCCUUCUGGAUACAUCAAACCACCAAUAACGCAUUACAAGGAGACAACAUUACUGCAGCAAUUGUGCUGCAUUAAUAACAAAGGCCCGGUUUGCUCAGUGGAAACAUUCACAACCAUCUGCUGGACCAGCGGUUCCCUUAGGACCAUUAGCAACACAGGGGACAUUAUUAUAAGAGUCCCAGAACCAACAGAAAGCACUUGAAUCCAAACCAUCAAUGCGGGUUUGACAGCUCAAGUGCUUCCCCCACAAUGCAACUGGGACCAAAGAGAAAUCAGACUUCAAAGCUUGGAACUGAAGCGAUCACAUGACCUCACAUGGAGCUUCCAGAGGAGAAGGAGCUCAGGCAGCAGGUUGCAGAGGAUCCGAGGUGGUUCUGGACUGGACACUGCACUCUAAGCAGGUCUCACUUGUCCCCGACGGAUAAGAGUGCUAAGGAAAGGAGCUUCAAUGCUUCCUUACCUAGGUCCUUAAGGAACCACUGGACCUUCCUUUAUGAAGGGAAAGGAGAUCAUUCAAAUCAUUCAGAUCAUUUAAAUUUCUCCGCUGCAGACUGACGUCACCAACGUGCGUCUCAGAGCUACGUCCCUUAGUGAAGGUGGAGACGAGUCCCUAAACACCGCGGUGUCUUUUUGUCCUUGGCCCCGGGACGCUUCGCACAGAGGUCACGAGUAGACGUUAGGGGGCAUUUUUUGGAGUAUGGAAUCCAGCCUCAGUAUGGAACAGGAACAGGAAAUGUGUUCAUACCGCUGCGGAUGGAUGUGGGAGGUCAGGAACCGGGUCCCAGUGCAAAUCCCCAAGGUCGGGCAGAGCGGACUUCAGCGUCAGCGCCCACAGGUUCUCCGCCACAGGGAGACACUCGCCCCUCCACCACGCUGACCUGUGGGGCAGAUGACGUAGAUCCUUAUCGCUAAGGCCUCCCAGCACGCUGCUACGUCACGCGAGCUUUUCACCGUGUUUACGACUAGAUUUCAUCCUCACAGCGCAGCAGCAGAGGCUUUUUCUAAAUGAUUAGGUUUGCAUUUUUAAUCUGCCAAUGAAAUUAUUCAUGAAACGCUCUUUGAUCUGAUGCACUGUGUCUACUUGUGUAAAGAACAAAGUAAGAGGCAGACAAAUGCAAAUCCACACAGGACCUUCAAAGUGUAAAAGCACAAAUGCCUUCACAUUUUUCCAGAAGCAACUGCAGGACGUUGUGGGGACAUGUGUCCCCCUUUAGUUAUAAAGGCCUGUAAGAGGACGCGCGUCGUGUACUCAUUGUUGCAGUUUAGUUUAGUUAGUUUAGUGUCAGGCGUCGGUUGUUAUUCUGCAUCUGUCUUUGAUUUGGUCAACAAGGUCAACGGGGUCAACAUCUCACGUGUUAAAAGCUCCUGUCUGUAACGUUUCACAUUACUCUGUAAUAUGCGAUUCUUCCUUAAACCAAACCGAGAUGUGACGUCGGAGCGCAGGUGUGCGUCAGAUCCCACGUGGUUCGCGGCUUGGCGCGCACGCGCACGCACCUCCCGGUCUCCGCUGUCGGCGCGAGCGCGCUCCUCUUCGGUGACGUCUUUGCCGGAUGCUCGUCUCUGAAGGACGACUUGUUGCGUUUAAGUUUCGACUUUGAAUGUUUCUGAGACAUUUCGUUACAUUACGUCAUCACAGCACCUUUAAACCUCCGCGCGUGUGUCCCAAACAGAACUUCUUCUUCUUCUUCUUCUUCUUCCUCUUCUUCUUCUUCUUCUUCUUCUUCUUCUUCUUCUGCGGCCGGAUGGCGGCUCGCGGACAGCUUGAAGGAUGCUCCUGUGCUUCCUACUGG